rnacentral:rRNA from 1 species
GGUUAAGCGACUAAGCGUACACGGUGGAUGCCCUGGCAGUCAGAGGCGAUGAAGGGCGUGCUAAUCUGCGAUAAGCGCCGGUAAGGUGAUAUGAACCGUUAUAACCGGCGAUACCCGAAUGGGGAAACCCAGUGUGAUUCGUCACACUAUCAUUAACUGAAUCCAUAGGUUAAUGAGGCGAACCGGGGGAACUGAAACAUCUAAGUACCCCGAGGAAAAGAAAUCAACCGAGAUUCCCCCAGUAGCGGCGAGCGAACGGGGAGGAGCCCAGAGCCUGAAUCAGCAUGUGUGUUAGUGGAAGCGUCUGGAAAGGCGCGCGAUACAGGGUGACAGCCCCGUACACAAAAGCGCAUGUGCUGUGAGCUCGAUGAGUAGGGCGGGACACGUGGUAUCCUGUCUGAAUAUGGGGGGACCAUCCUCCAAGGCUAAAUACUCCUGACUGACCGAUAGUGAACCAGUACCGUGAGGGAAAGGCGAAAAGAACCCCGGCGAGGGGAGUGAAAAAGAACCUGAAACCGUGUACGUACAAGCAGUGGGAGCACCCUUUGGGUGUGACUGCGUACCUUUUGUAUAAUGGGUCAGCGACUUAUAUUCUGUAGCAAGGUUAACCGAAUAGGGGAGCCGGAGGGAAACCGAGUCUUAACCGGGCGUUAAGUUGCAGGGUAUAGACCCGAAACCCGGUGAUCUAGCCAUGGGCAGGUUGA